rfam:Cordyceps militaris CM01 unplaced genomic scaffold CCM_S00004, whole genome shotgun sequence.
UAACCUUAAAUUAGGUAGGAAUACCUACUAAACUUAAGCAUAUUAAUAAGUAGAGGAAAAGAAACUAAUAAGGAUUGCCCUAGUAAUAGCAAGUAAAAUAGUAAUAGCUUAAAUUUAAAAUCUAGCCCCUAGGUCUAAGUUAUAAUUUAUAGAGAAUACUUUUAGCAAGGUGCCUUCUAAGUUCCUUAGAAUAGGACGCUAUAAAGGGUAAGAGCCCUAUCUAGUUAGAUACUAAGCCUUUAUAAAGCUCCUUUAAUAAGUUAAGUAGUUUAGGAAUGCUGCUUAAAAUAGAAGGUAUAUAUCUUCUAAAGCUAAAUAUUAGCUAGAGACUAAUAGCGUAUAAGUAGAGUAAUUAAAAAAUAAAAAGCACUUUAAAAAGAGGGUUAAAAAGUAUAUAAAAUUGUUAAAAGGGAAGCGCUUAUAACUAGACUUAGGCCUAGUAAAUUACCUAGUAUUCUUAUUAGUAUACUUUACUAGGCAUAGGCUAGCAUUAGUUUAGUAUAGGGGAGAAAGGCUUUAGGAAUAUAGCUCCCCUAGGAGUAUUAUAGCCUAUUGCGCAAUACCCUAUACUAGACUAAGGUAUGCAUAUUCGUAAGGAUACUAGCGUAAUAGUUAUUAGCAACCCGUCUUAAAAUACGGACUAAGGAGUUAUCUUUAUAUAUAAGUGUUUAGGUAUUAAAUCCCUACGCGUAAUAAAAGUAAAUAUAGGUAAGAGCUUUAGCGCAUUAUUAACCAAUCCUAAUGUUCUUAAAUAGAUUUAAGUAAGAGCAUAUAAGGCUAGACCUAAAAGAAGGUAAACUAUACCUAUAUAGGGUAAAGCUAGAGGAAACUCUAGUAAAGGCUUAUAGCAGUUCUAACAUACAAAUUAAUUAUUAAAUAUAGGCAUAGGGGUAAAAGACUAAUUAAACCUUCUAGUAGCUAGUUUCUACUAAAGUUUCCCUUAGGAUAGUAGUAUUAAACUUAGUUUUAUAAGGUAAAGCGAAUAAUUAGGGACUUAGGGGCGCUAUAUUGCCUUUAUCUAUUCUUAAACUUUAAAUAUGUAAGAAGCCCUUAUUACUUAAUUAAACGUAGGUAUUUAAAUAUAUUAACACUAGUAGGCCAUUUUUAGUAAGUAGAACUAGCAAUACAGGAUAAACUAAACGCAAGGUUAAGGUGCUAGAGUAGACACUUAUUAGACACUAUAAAAGGUAUUAGUAUAUCUUAAUAGCAAGAUAGUGGCUAUAAAAGUUAGAAUCUACUAAGGACUAUAUAACAACUUACCUACUAAAUAUACUAGCCCUAAAAAUAGAUAGCGCUUAAGCGUCCUACCUAUACCUCGCCCUUAGGGUAGAAAUAAAGCCUUAAGGAGUAGGCAGACAUAGAGGUUAGUAACGAAGCCUAGGGCGCAAGCCCAGGUUAAACAGCCUCUAGUACAGAUCUUAGUAGUAGUAGCAAAUACUUUAAUAAGAACUUAAAGGACUAAAGUAGAGAAAGGUUCUAUAUAAAUAGUAGUUAGAUAUAGGUUAGUUAAUCCUAAGUUAUAAGGAAGUUCUGUUUUAAAGGCGCACUCUACGCUAUAUAGUGAAAGGGAAGCUAGUUAAUAUUCUAGCACCUAAAUAUAGGUUUUAUAUAGUAACGCAACUAAACAUAGAGAUAAUAGUAGGAGCCCUAAGUAGAGUUCUCUUUUCUUCUUAAUAGUCUAUUACCCUAAAAUCGGUUUAUCUAGAGCUAGGGUUUAAUAGCUAGAAGAGCCUAGCACCUCUACUAGGUUUAGUACACUCUUAACGUCCCUUAAAAAUCCGCAGGAAGGAAUAAUUCUUACAUUAGGUUGUACUUAUAACUAUAGUAGGUCUCUAAGGUAAAUAGCCUCUAGUUAAUAGAACAAUAUAGAUAAGGGAAGUUAGCAAAAUAGAUCCAUAACUUUAAAAUAAGGAUUAGCUCUAAGGGUUAGGCACGUUAGGCUUUAGAAGGAUGCCUUAAGAGUAGGCCACUACUAGCUAGGUAACCAGCCAGCAGUAGCCAGCAUCUAGGCACUAAUAUCCUUAGUAGGCUUUAGCUAUCCAGCAUGCAGUUAAUAACCAACUUAGAACUAGUAUAGAUAAGGGGAAUCUAACUAUCUAAUUAAAACAUAGUAUUAUAAUAGCUAGAAAGUAGUAUUAACAUAAUAUAAUUUCUACCUAGUACUUUAAAUAUUAAAGUAAAGUAAUUUAACUAAGCACAGGUAAAUAGUAAGAGUAACUAUAACUUAAUAUAGUGGCAGGGGAGAUAGCGCAUAGGUGCCUAACCCCCCUUAAGAAGGUUAAGCAGCGUAAAAAGCAACUACUAGUAAGGGCCGCUAUAGCCCCUAUAACACCGUUAAAUUGUAGGAAGUUCCUAAAGCUAACACUACUAAGCAGGCUACUAAAAGGCGUCUAUAGCCAGGGUAAUAACCUAGGGUACGGUAAAAACGUGUUAGAUGUAAUAAUAGAUAAUCCGCAGCUAAGCCCUAUAUACUACGCAGCCCCCUAGGCUGCGCAGGAUAUGGGUGCAGUUUAACAACUAAAUAGUAAUAGGUUCCAUAAGGAGUGUGUCCUACACACCCUUGCUAGGCUUAAGAUAUAGUCUACUCCUACUUUAAAAGGAUAGGUAUAAUACUCUUAAGGUAGCUAAAUGCCUUAUUAUCUAAUUAGUAAUAUAUAUAAAUAGAUUAAUAAGAUUCCCACUAUCCCUAUUUACUAUCUAGCAAAACUAUAGUUAAGGGAAUAGGCUUAGCAGAAUUAGUAAGGAAAGAAGACCCUAAACACACUAUAGUUCGUUCUAAUAAUAAGCAUUAAUAGGGUUAAUAGCAGUUAGCAUGCCACUAGUCUAGCAGCUAAUAUAGUUAUAGGUAGCUAUAGGCAAGACAACCUAGUAUAAGGGAGCCUAUAGGGAGGACUACGUCCUCCCUAUAGUAAUCCUAUAGUAAGCCUCCUUUAGGGGGCUAUUAUAACGUAUAGAAAGGUAUUAGUUAGUAGUUAAGAGGCUACUAGCUUAAGGGAUAUACUAAACCUAGGUAAAAGCCUGCCUAUUAAUAGAGUGCCUAUAGUAUAAAGUCUUUAGGGGCUGUACUUACAUAACGCCUAGAAGGAAAUGCCUAGGCAGAGGCUAGUAAGGAGAUAGUUAAGCUUAACUCUAGUUUAAUAUUAUAAAAAGAUAUAGGAGGUAUAGAAUAGGUAGGAGCUUUAGUACUAGUAAAAUACUACUACUCUUAUUAUUUUUUUACUUAUUUAAUAAAGUAGGGCUAGAUUUUUAUCUAACUUCUAGUUUUAAGGUCCUUUAUAGGCUAACCUAGGUUAAAGAUAUUGUUAGGUAGGGAGUUUAGCUAGGGCAGUAUAUCUAUUAAACCAUAACGUAGGUAUCCUAAGGGGGGCUUAUAGAGAAUAGAAAUCUCUAGUAGAAUAAAAGGGUAAAAGUCCCCUUAAUUUUAAUUUUUAGUGUAAAUAUAAACUAUAAAAGUAUAGCCUAUUAAUCCUUUAGUCUCUUAAUAUUUAAGGCUAGAGGUGCUAGAAAAGUUACUAUAAGGAUAAACUAAACUAAAACAUUCUAGGCGCUAGCUUAUUACUAGCGUCUAGUCAGCCUACCGCUUAAUAGCACUAGUAGUAGGUAGGCAAUACACCUAGAUAUAGGGAACUCUUAUUAGGUAUAUAGUACUAAGUAUUAGUUAUAAUGCUCUAAUAUUCUAAUAAUAAGGGUAUAGUAAUAAUCUAUAUAAUAAAGAUAAUCUAUAGCUAAGUUAGCUGCCUUAUAAGAGGGUGCUAGCCAGUUUAAUGCUUACUAAGGUAUAGGUUAUAACUAUAUAUAUAGCUAUAGUUCCUAGUUAUGGCUUAAGGUACAGGCUACGCCCACCUAAGAGGGUAAUACUAUCUACUAGGAGUAUACCUUAAGAAGUAGUAUAUAUAAGAGUUUUUUAUGCUUAUAUAGUAGUAUAGAACUAGCUUAUAGCGGCUAAGUAUUUAUAGCAAUGUCGCUUUUUAAUCCUUUAAUAUUAGCUCUUCCUAUUAUACUAAAGUAGAAUUUAGUAAGUAUUAGAUUAUUUACUUACUAAAGAACCAAUAUUUUCUAUUAGUAGGGAUAGUCAGGUCCUAUUAGUUAGGAUUACGCUAGCUAGUCAAUAUAACAUGCGCUAUAGGUAUUAUAUAGCAACACAACCUAGAUUAAGGAAGGCUAAGGGCUUAUAGGCCUAUACUAAUCCUAAGUGCAGUCCUAGUAAAGUAAUCUUCUAGGACGUAUAUAGAGUAUAGAAAGGUAUAGGCAGCUCUUCUAGGUACGCCUAGAAGGCUGCUUAAGGGACAUGCUAGACCCAUAAGAAACCAUGCUAGAUAUAAAGGACCUGCAGUCUAGAUUAUCUAGGUAGCUUUAAGGCUAGGAGGAAAUGCCUAGAAGAGCUAGGUAUACUAUAUAGAAUAGGGAUAAGACGUGCGCCUAGGCCUAUAGCAGUUAGGAUAGGGUAUAAUAGUAACCUAUAUAGGUUUUAAAUAGGGAAUGUAAGCUAGGUUUAGACCGUUAUAAGAUAGGUUAGUUUUACCCUACUAAUAACCUUACUGCAAUAGUAAUUUAGCUUAGUAUAAGAGGAACUGCUAAUUUAGAUAAUUAGUUUUUAUAGCUAUCUAACUAGGCAGUGCUGUAACGCUACUAUUUACUAGAUAAUAGCUAAACACCUCUAAGUUAGAAUCCAUGCUAGAACGCAGUAAUACCACCCGUACGUACAGAUAGAUAAGAAUAGGCUUUAGCUUUAUAUCUUAGUAGGCAAUUCCUUUAUAGCUAUAGAAGAGUAGUCUUAGUAUUUCGCGUAUUAUAAUUUCAAUAUAAGUAGGGUUAAAUCCUUUAUAGACGACUUAGCUAUGCAAAACAGUCCUAUAAGUAGUAGAGUAGCCUUAUUAUUAUAAUCUACUAAGGGUAAGCCAUCCUUUGCCUUGAUUUCC